rnacentral:tRNA from 1 species
GGCCCGUUGGUGAAGUGGCUUAACACAGCGCCCUUUCACGGCGUCAUUCACGAGUUCGAAUCUCGUACGGGUCACCA